UACGAAGGGGGCUAGCGUUGCUCGGAAUCACUGGGCGUAAAGGGUGCGUAGGCGGGUCUUUAAGUCAGGGGGGAAAUCCUGGAGCUCAACUCCAGAACUGCCUUUGAUACUGAGGAUCUUGAGUACGGGAGAGGUGAGUGGAACUGCGAGUGUAGAGGUGAAAUUCGUAGAUAUUCGCAAGAACACCAGUGGCGAAGGCGGCUCACUGGCCCGAUACUGACGCUGAGGCACGAAAGCGUGGGGAGCAAACAGG
rnacentral:rRNA from 1 species